rnacentral:misc_RNA from 1 species
AUUUCCUACACCAUCUGCAGAAGCUCCUCCUCAACACACCCGCCCACCCACAUACAUACACACACACACACACACAGCGAAAAAGGAGGAAGGCAAAGACGUCUUCAAGUUCGAAAGAGAGAGAGAGGCAGGGGGCGCUUCGUUCCACCACCUCCGCGACGCACGCGAUGCAUGUGUGCGGGCGUCUUUAGUGAGUACUUUGCUUCUCUUCUUGGCGAGCGUUCGACUAGCCUCUUCUUUUUGUGUGUUUUGCCCGCGUUCGGGGUGCGUGCAAGCGUACAUAUGUGCAUAUGUAUGCGUAUGCGUGUACGUGCUUGGAUGUGAGGCCACAUCACACCUGCGCCAGUGUAUGCUUCUCAUUGCUCGCGGGUCUAUCCGCGUUGCGUGGUGCUCCUGCGUAGUCGAUUUCUCUCCUCUUUCCUCGUUCUCUGAGGGCGGCACGCCAUCACGCCACCCGUACGCACCCGGUAGACGCGCACGCACAUACGCACACAUCCAUCCACCGGUAUACACGCUCGCUAGGCUGCAUUUCUGAUCGUCUCUUUUUUUACUUUGCGUUUGUUUUCGCCGCUUUCUUCAGCUCUUGCAGUGUUGUCUCAGAUAAUAUCGUCCUCCUUUCUCUUUCCCUGUCUCCUUAUUCGUCUUGGGCCCCUUCCCCCCUUUCCCCCCUUCCUUCUCUCCCUCAUUCAUUGGGCCAUUCUGUCUCGAGACGUCGCUGUACGACCCUUCCCUCCUGCCAUGAGAGAGCGCGCGCGCACACACACACACACACACGCCUUCACCUGCUCACCUUUUUCUCGUCGUUGCUUCUGUCGUAUGAGGGUAGGAAAGCUCGUUUUGCUUCCUCACCACACACACACACACACUCAUAUAUAUAUAUAUAUAUAUAUAUAUAUAUAUAUAUAUCGACGGUCUACGCAGCACCAGCACCCCCCUCCUCCUCUUGGCGCGCGCGUGUUCCCGCCUUCCACGCUUACACACUCUCUGCGCGCGUCUCUCCACACGGCAGCGCAGCGUGGCAACUGGUGCCUGUCUACACGCAGGCCCACACACGCGCGUCGCCUCCUAUUGCGUGAACCAUGGCGGCGACUUCGCCCACGCCGUCCCAGCGGACGUACUUGCGCAUUGUAGUGUACUGCGACGAUUCGCAGGAGCCGCACACCUUACCGGAUGUGCGUGUGCCGCGGAGCGUCAGCGAGGUGCAGCGACUCGUGGAGGGCCGAGUAGGACAGCGAGCAAUGGUGCUAUCCUACUGGAAUUACACGCACAGUCGCUACGAGCUGCUGAAGGAUGUGCGCGAACUGCUGCAGGAAGACGGACGCCUGCUUUCUCAGCGUUUACACACCUCAGAGAAUGAGGCCGCGGAGACGGCAGAGGCGGAUGGGACGACGAACACGGACGGCAGAGCCACCUCCGCCAGCGAGCUGGGCGCCCACCAUUCCAAGCUCUGUAUCUAUCGCUGCCAGCUGUGGAUGGAGACAACACUGAUUCAGCUGGAGCCACUGGAUAAACGGCGCGACAAGAUCGAGUACGAUGAGCUGCGCAGCCACGUUGCUUGCUGGCUGGGCAACAAGCAUGUCGGCUUCGAAGUGCAGGAUGCGAUGCGCAUUCGUUGCCCUUUCCUGACUCGCAUGUUUGACGAGACGCGAAGCAGACGGCUGUCGGCCAAUCAGGACAAGGUGCAGCUGCUCUACUACAGUAACAACGCGUGGAGCGUGCGCGUGGUCCUGCAGUAUGGAUUCCUGCUCAGCAACGGCGUCCCCCAGUCGCUGGCAGCCGUGCUGCAGUCCUGCGGCGGCUCGGACGUGUCAAGCGGCACUGAGUCGGGGUCGAGCAAUCCUGUGCCACAUGUCGGGGGUGGUGCCUCGGCGCCGACCUCUCCGUCGUCAGCGUCGCCGACCGCGGCGAACACGCGGCGCACGCCUUUUGUUUUUACCUCCUCGAUGCUUAGCGCGCAUGUGAAGUAUAUGCCACCCAACACCGCGCCUCACAAGGUGCUGCUGUGCGAAGUUGCACCUGGACGCCGUUUCAUGACUGACCAGGGCCUCACGGGCGAGAGCCCCGACAAGCAGGCCUACCCCACCCCUCCUGUGAAGCCACCACGCGGCUACGACAGUGUUUGCUACAUGCGGGCGCACAAGCAGAAGACCAGCCUGCGCACCGAGGACGCCGCUGAAAUUGCGGCAGAGGACCUCUCCCUGGUGCAGGUGCAGGUGCAGCACAGCUACCAGGCACUGCCCCGCUAUCUACUAACGGUGUUCCCCUCCGCCGCCACUCUGUCGGCACAGCAGCGUCGCAAGAGCGGACGGUGCGCCACAACCAGCCCGGCCCGGUCGCCAGGGACGACAGCGCAGGCCGCGGCAGCGAGGGAGGACGAGAAGAAGAUGAGCCGUGCGGGAGGGGUGCCGCCGCCGCUGCCGUCGCCGUCCUCCCCAUCUUCCCCAUCGUCCCCGUCUUCCCCGUCCAAGAUCUACAACAUGAAGGAGUGGUUCAAGUCCAGCCCGAGGCGGGGGUCCGUGUCCGCGGACAACGGCGCGAAUCCGAAGCAGGCUACCUCUCCGCAUAGCACCAGCGGCCUCCUCAUGGGGAUGCGCUACGCAGACAGCACAGCACCCUACCAACGAGCUGCCUCCGCCACCACGCCGGGCCGCGGUGAGGCCUCCAAACAGCGCCGCGCCGCGCAGAAAACCCGCGCAGAGUGCGACGAAGGCAACACCGCAUAUCACGGCGGUGGCGGACUGAUCGAACCCUGGGCGCUAGACUCUGUGCCUGCGAGAGGCACAGGGACUGCAGGGCGCAGUGACCUGGUGACAGGCUCGCCGUGGGCGUCAGGGGUAUACUCAGCCGGCAACGGCGGCUUUCGCAACGCUUCGCCCAGUAAUCGUGUCUCUUACGGCGGUGUUCGUGCUGCUUCGGCACCCCGCGCGCCCCCGACGCAGCACCUGUCGCCACUGAGCCCAUACGCCGCCCAAGUCUCGCCAAGCACGAAUUCGGCGUGGGGGACUGGCGGCCUGAUGCCGUCUCUGUCGUUCCACGGCGCCUACAACGCGCACUCGAGCCACAACAGGCUGCUCUACGAGAGCCUGCCUCGUGAUCGCAGCGCCACGAGCCGCGAUACAGCAUAUCUGUCAGUACCUGCUGCCGUGGUCCGAAGCGCUGGUCGGAGAGCCGCAAGCGCUGGCGCGCCGCUGCCAGCUGCCCAUCAUGGAGCCCCCUCACGUCCUCCCCUUCUGCCACCGCGCGGGGGCGUGCGCGGUGGCGGCGCGAUGGGUGGCGGGGGCAUCGCUGGUCCGACGCUGAAGACAGUGCCGCCCGCCUCGGCCACAGCUCCGUUUACUCAGCGGCAGGCGCCACCGGCGACCUUGGAUCAGUUUACCUGCGACAUUCAUCCCCGCCAGAUCAAGUCGCUCUACUGCAUGGCGUGCGAGGAGCUGACGUGCUCGUACUGCGCCAGCGUUGGGGCGCACCGCUCUCACGUGGUGGUGGAGGCGGCGGAAAGAGCAACGGCUGUAUGCGCCAAGGCAGAGGCACUGCACGAGGCGCUGCGCCACUCGCUGACCCAGUGCGAGCAAACAGAGGAACAGCUGAGGGCAGAGCAGGCCCGCUACGCUGCGCGGCAGCAGCGAGAUCUGUGCUUCGUUCAACGGCAAUUCUCGACACUGAAUCAGGCGCUUCAGCAGGCGGAGCGUUCCAUGACGCAGAUGGUGCAGGAGGCGCAGCGCAGGCCGCCGCUCGCCGAGGCUGCCGCCGUGGCCACCAAGUACACGCAAGCGCUUGCCGCUCUAGACGCGGCGCUGCGUCGUUAUUACAGCACAGUAGCUGCCAGCAGUAGUGGGCCCUGCGCAGAGCGUACUUGCGGUCCCACGAACCGCUUGCUUGAGUUGUUGCACUUCCUUCGCACGACCUCGUCGCUGAUUGGCCAAGUGGAAGGCCGCAUUGCUCGACGCAAGGACGAGGAGAAGCGCCUGCGCGACGCCAUCGUGAGCUGCGAAGCUCAGGCGCAGACGAAUGAGGCCCUCUUUCAACAGGUUGACUGGGCGGGCCUGCGCCGGCUGCUUGUGAGCAUCGGCAACGUCCGCACCAACAUGGACAACGUAGCGGAGCCGCAGCCGUCUACCUCGGCAGGGCCAUUUCGCAGUGGCAGGACCGCGCCUCCGUCACUGCACGAAGCCACCGCCCUCUCUAUGCCUGGUGCAGCACAAAGCCGGCCAAACUCUGCCAAGGUGCGAGCGCGCACUCAGACGCUGAUGGCACUCUCUUCGCCGCGCCGUGACGCCAGCAGCGAUGCACCGCAGCGGCUGCUGGACAGCCUACCUGCCGGUACCCUUAUGCAGAGCGAAAACGGUGCCGCCGCAUCGCCGCCGACGCUGCAGAAUCUCGGCCUGCACCGCUGUCUGACGGACCUCCAGAGAGGCUACAUUUGGGUCAUCCAGAGCGCCACGUCUUACUUCGCACCUGGACAACGGAAGAUAGUCUGCUCCACACCAUUCCGCCUGCUCGGUGUAUCGUGGGAGCUGCGCGUUGCCCCGCUCCCGCGAGCACGUCGCCACGACGGCAGCGCGUCCUCCACGCCGAUGGUGGAGCCGGGGAUCAACGGCGGCGUGAUGGACACCGCGGCGUCUAGGUUGACACCACCCAAUGUGCUGGAAGGAGGCGGCAGGGGGCUCAGUGGUAGUCAGGCGCGCACCUCACUCCUUCUCACGCACUCCGCGCAGGAGGACCACUACACGUUCGCGGCAGAGGAUGUCGACAACACCCUCGUGACGUCGGCGCCCUCGUCCGACGAGGGAGAGGAGGAGUGGCUCGGCCUCUUUCUCUUCCCCUUGCAGCACCGUCUGCGCAUAGACUUCCGCGUUAUCGCCUUCUCAGAGGUGGCAUGGGCGGAGUGGCAGGUGACGGGGUGGACGGCGCGAUUUGCCGGGAAGGGAUGGGGUCUCUACCCCUUCUUGCAACGCAGAGAGCUGCUGCAGACCGACGAGCUGGCGCGCGAUAACAUGGUGAAGAUUUGCAUAGCCCCCAUCAGCGACCUGUAUUAGAGCUGCGUGGAGGCAGGAGCGGGGCAGGUUUGUGUGCGCAUCACGCUUAGAUAGCGCUUCUCCCAUCCGCUCCCGCUCUUUGUUUCUCUCUCUCUCCUUUCUUCUCCAUCUCUCCUCUGUCCCUCUCUGCCUGUGCGCUUGUGUGCAUGCCGGUGUCCCUUCGCGGCUCGCGUGCGCGACGAUCAUUGGAUGUGCAUUUUCCAUGGCGACUUUUUUUUUAAUAAAGCGCUUUCGCCUAUCGACAUGUGUUCCUCCCUUCCCCCCUCCUCAUCCACCACGUUUUCCUUGCGGCGUCGUCGCUGUCCCUCUCGUGUCGUGCGCUUUACCUUCUCUCCUCGAACUGUGCGAUGAGCUGAUGACCUAAACAUCCCCGCCCGCCGUGUGUGUUCGUUGCUUGGCAUUGCAGUGCAAUGCCACACACGACAUGCGUCACCUUUAUCGAAAGGGUAGCACGAACUGACUGCAGGUGCGUUUACACGUGCACAUGUAAGGCGGGAGGGGGACAGGGAGGAGAGGAUGGUUUGUGCUUCGCUCAUCAUGGCGUCUUCAGGGCAAUAAUGCGACAGGCAUAGAGGGAAGGCGGAGACGACUGCGUGCAUGUACAUCUGCGAUCUUUUCUGUGCCUCCGUUUUUUUUUUUGUGUCCUUCCCUGAGCUGCACCAAUAUGCUCGUGCUUGUGUGUUGCUCACCAAACAAGCGCCUCUGAGUCUCUCUCACUCGCUUCACCGCUCUUUCGCCCUCACUGCGGUGCGGUGCUGUGAACACGUGAGGACUGCGGUGGUCGUGCUUUGGGGGUGCCGCUGCUGCCGCUGCUGCCUCUCUCCCUGCUACCGUUCCCUUUCCUCGAACCGUACUCGCCGGUACUUCGACGUGCGAUGCAGCAAACUCUCUCCUCCCUCGCGCCCCCUUUUUUUUUUCGGGCCAUCCCUCGAUUUCCUUGGGUCGCAACACGCAG